UCGGAUUGUAGUCUGCAACUCGACUACAUGAAGCUGGAAUCGCUAGUAAUCGCGAAUCAGCAUGUCGCGGUGAAUACGUUCCCGGGUCUUGUACACACCGCCCGUCACACCAUGGGAGUCGGUAACGCCCGAAGUCAGUGACCCAACCGGAAGGAGGGAGCUGCCGAAGGCGGGACUGGUAACUGGGGUGAAGUCGUAACAAGGUAGC
rnacentral:rRNA from 1 species